AAACCAUGAUGAGGACAUUGUGUCUGGUAACCUUUGAAGCGCUCAUUAUUUGUCUGUAUGAAACCGGAGAUAUCAUUCCUUAGUCU